rnacentral:rRNA from 1 species
UACGGAGGGGGCUAGCGUUGUUCGGAAUUACUGGGCGUAAAGCGCACGUAGGCGGACUGUUAAGUCGGGGGUGAAAUCCUGGGGCUCAACCUCAGAAUUGCCUCCGAUACUGGCAGUCUCGAGUGCGGGAGAGGUGAGUGGAAUUCCGAGUGUAGAGGUGAAAUUCGUAGAUAUUCGGAAGAACACCAGUGGCGAAGGCGGCUCACUGGCCCGGUUCUGACGCUGAGGUGCGAAAGCGUGGGGAGCAAACAGG